AAAAAAAGAGUCCUUUAAAAACAAAUUUACUUCAAGCCAGGUGUGAUAGCACACACUUUUAACCCCAGUACUCCAGGGACAGUGAUUUGCUGAGAAGCAUUUGAAGAACACAUCUCCAUAAACAGUUACUAUCAAAUCCAUUUAUAUAGGAAUGUGCUAAGGUCCAGAGAUCUUAAAUAGCAGGCCUAUGUUUACAUAGCCAGGAAUGGCAGGACCUAUUUUGGUGUCUCCUGGAGGAAACAAACCUUGGUAUGAAUAAAGAAAAGAUGUCUGCAGAGGAGAACCAGGAAGGAUAAUAAUUAGUGUUUGGAAAUAUUUUAUUUAGUGACAAUAUUGCAACUUCCUAGUUUUAUGGUUUAGACAGCACUUUCCAGGACUUUGAUAUAUGAACUGUCAUAACUCUAGCCCCAGUCUGAACCCCAGGCACACCACAGACUGCUUCCCUGGGUCCUCCCGGCUUCACAAGCCAUCCAGAUUCCCAGAGGCUAAGUGGGUGACCUGGGGCACACCUGGCUGUCUUGGCACAGCCACUAAGCGCACACAUUCCCUCAUAAGUGCCGCACCUGGACAAACAGGACUCAUACUUUUUGGCUCCAAGGACAAUAUUUCUUUGCUGGAUCAUUUUCCUGUCUGCAUCCCCGGCCAUCCCACAGAGAAAUGCCCUCCUCGUGUUGUCUGUAAAACCCCAGGAAUGCCUCUCCUGACACUUCAGCCUUUCGUAGUGGUUUGGGCAAUUUGGAAAUACAAUUAAAGCAAUAGUUUAGUGAUUUUUCUGUGCCUCCUCUGUUUUUGCAAGCCCCACGGAUUAUUAUUUUUACUGUGGCUGUGAAGAGCCCUGAUCUUGUCCACUAAAUCCUUCUAUCUAAUGAGCAAUGGCUUAACAAAAGUCCCAAAGCCAUAAACUUGGAGGUUAUCCUUUCCAGGCCACCAAUGAGGUGUCCACCGAUGAUGGAGUUUCUGUCCCACCAAGGCCCACAGUCAUUUGGUCCCAAAUAAACACACAGAGGCUCAUGACUAAGACGGAGAUUAACUCUCUCUUAAUUAUUAACCCAUUUCUGUUAAUCUAUGUAUCUCCAUUUGGUCCUGGCUUACCAGAAAAAAAUCUCAGCAUCCUACCUUCCUGGUGGCUACAUGGCCUCUCCGUCUGGAAACCACUUUUGUACCUUUCCUUUUCCAGAAUUCUCCUAGUCUGGUAGCCCGGCCUAUACUUCCUGCCUGGCUACUGGCCAAUCAGCAUUUGUUCAUUAACCAAUAAGAGAAACAUAUUCACAGAAGGACAUCCUCCAUCAAUCCAUCUUCGGAUAAAUGUUCUUUGUAUGGGUUUGGGAGUAUCUUUGAAUGAGUGAACGGUCAGGAGAGAGGAGCUAGUGAGCCUCUGCUUUGUCUGAAGAGGAGGAAGGGACUCCAGUCUCUACCAUUGGGUGGGAGCAAUGGCUGGGCAAGUCUUGCUCACUCUGGGAAAAUACUGACUUUGGUGGCUUGGUUAAGGGGGUAUGCCAGCUAUGUGAUUUAUGUGUCAAUGCAAAAACAGAC
rnacentral:lncRNA from 1 species